AACAGUACUGGGAAACCCUUCAGGAACAGUUCUGAGCUGCCUGAACAGUAGCGGCGCGUGGACCCCACGCACCGCCGUGACUGGCGGCGCGUGGGCUCACGCGCCGCCCCGAAAAUCAGGCAGCGUGAGGGGGCUGUAAUGGCUUCCUCCCCUCUUCUCUUCUUGCUAUCCGUCACCUGCAAAUCCAAAGAAAACACACAGCAAGCAGUCGAUUUUAAGUUUUCGGGUCUAGAUCUGUUUUUUUGGGUCUUUUCCGUUUUGAAUCCGCUUCUCCUUUACAGAUCGGUCCUUCUCCUUUUUGUUUCCCCUUCUCUGUUUCAGGUGGUCAUUUCUAUGACCAAGGGGGAGGCGCCGGCUGCUAGGCUUUCGUUGUUGCUCGCGGCCGCUGGAGCUGUUGCAGGGAUGGGUGAGAUGCUGGCGGCGUCGAGGCGGAGGAGUGACAGAUCGGUGGGUGUCUCUGCUGGAGGCUGUGAGCUGGGUCUGUGGGUGCUGCCAGGGACGGUGCUGCUGUUGUUGAAACUACGGUGGAGCUGGCUGGUGGGUUACUGGCGGUGUCCUCGGUGGUGCUGAAGCUGACGGUGGCGCUGGGAUGUUCUAGGCAGAGGGGCUGUCUGAGAAGAAAAAAAAUAAAAGCCAAAGGUGGGGAACCGGGUUCGGUGGGCUGUUAUGGUGAAGAUGAAGAUGGCUGGGGUUCGGGGCUUGUCCGGCGGCUGAGGAAGAAGAAAAUCAAGAGGGAGGGGUUCGGGGCUGCUGGCUUUGAAAGUGGAAAGGGGGGAAUAAGCCGGCUCUGGUUUCUGAAGGAUGAGUAGCCGAAGGAGAAGAAAGGGAGAAACAGCCGAGAGGAGGAUCAGGGAGCUGUCUUGGAUUUUUUUUUUGUGGCCGGCGGCUGUAGAAAAAAAUUAAAACCAGGGGGGAGGGGGCGGCGGCUGCUUUAAAAAAAAUGGGUUUUAGGUUUAGGUUUUGUGUUUUUUUUUCUGUGAUAUUUCAAAAUUGCCCCCCCUUUAAAAAUCAGUUUAGCAUGGUAUUUAUAGGCAAAAAUAUUGCUAGGUUUUUCGACUUGGUCCCUCAACUUCUUUCUUUUUGUAAAUUUUGAUUUUUAUUAUUUUUUUUAUAUUUUUUGAAAACGAGCAAUAUCAACGUCGACUCAAAAUGCGGAAAAUCAAUGACUUUAAAAAUGACGCGCGAAAAGUCGAACGCGUUUGAAAAUAUUUUAACAAUUUAAAUUCCUUUUUUAGACGACGUUGAAAAUGCUAAAAUGACGAAAAUAUAUUAAAAAACAUAUUUUUUUGGAUUUUCUUUGUUUUUUCUCAAUUUUUUUGGAUUUUUGAAAAUAUAUCAAAACAUGGGUCAAAAAUUGGGUAGCAACAGAUGCCCCCUCUUUACAAUGCUUACGAAGCGAAACAUCCUCAAAAUUUUGCAUAGUAAGCUUUGUAAAGAAAACAAACGGAAAAUGAUUUCAUUAUCUUGGGCGACCUGCCCACACACUCACACUGAUCUGUUUUCACGGGCGACCUACCCACACGUACUCACUCAAGUCUAUUUUCACGGGCGACCUGCCCACACAUACUCACUCAAGUCUAUUUUCACGGGCGACCGACCCACACUCUCCCAAUAGUCUAUUUUCACGGGCGACCUGCCCACACAUUGGGUUUACCUGAGAUCCCAUCUGGCGACCUCAUUCAACUGGAACGAAAAUAUGUGUAACUCGGUUAACCUGAAAUCUCAUCUGGCGAUUCCCUUUAACCAAAGUUACAUGAGAUCCCAUCUGGCGACCUCAUUCAACUGGAACGAAAUAUGUGUAACUCGGUUAACCUGAAAUCCCAUCUGGCGAUUCCCUUUAACCAAAGCUACAUGAGAUCCCAUUUGGCGACCUCAUUCUGGUCUCAUUGUACGGGUGACUAACCCUCAAAAAAUGCUGGUCUCAUUGUAUGGGUGACGAACCCUAGUGCUGCUGGUCUCAUUGUACGGGUGACGAACCCUAGUGCUGGUCUCAUUGUACGGGUGACGAACCCUAGAAAUAUGAUGGUCUCAUUGUAUGGGUGACGAACCCCAGAAAUAUGAUGGUCUCAUUGUAUGGGUGACGAACCCAGAAAUAUGAUGGUCUCAUUGUAUGGGUGACGAACCCCAGAAAAAUGAUGGUCUCAUUGUAUGGGUGACGAACCCAGAUGGAAAAAAUGUGAAGUGCGGUCUCAUUGUAAUGGGUGACCUACCCACGUGGAAAAAAUAUGAUGAAGUGCGGUCUCAUUGUCAUGGGUGACCUACCCGGAUGGAAAAAAUGUGAAAAACGGUCUUAUUAUGAUGGGCGACCUACCCAGAUGGAAAAAAAUGUGAUAUGACAAGUGUGAAAAAUAGGACUUACCUGGCGAAGUUCUGAAGGAUGACAGAAGAAAGGGCUGGAAAACUUGGUGCUUCCUGAUAAUUCCCGAUCAUGGGGUUUGAAAACUCGUGUUUCCUGACUGCAAGGGUUGAAAACUCGAGGCUUCCCGGUUGCAAGGUUGAUCUAUUCAUUUCUUUGGGAUUUUCCUAAUGGUAGGUUCAUCCCAUCGUCCUUUUAUUCCAUGAUCAAAACCGAUUUUUAUUAUCAUCACCACAAUGCUUCUUUCUCUUUCCACCAUCUUGCUGGACCUCAUUAAGGAUUUUCCUGUAACAAUUCAAAAAUAUGUGCAAAUGUUUUUUUUUUUUUUUAGGUUAGAUGAUAUGCAUGCAUCCUUACCUGAUUUGAAAUAUAGGUCCCCCCUAUUUGAUGCUCCAUCGUCAUAGGGUGCCCUUGUUUGUAUCCCAAAGCUUUCUUUGUUCUUCCGAUGUAUUGGCUCAUUCAUGUGUUAGCCAUCCACUCAGCUGUAAAUGUAGUGCCCAUCCCGGGUUGUCUUCGACAAUUACUGCUUGCAUCGUUCAUGAAGCUUGACCCUGCCCCCAAGUGUAGUACUGCUUGAUUCAUCAUGAGAGAUUUUCUCUCCUGGCUUCUUCUGAGAAAUUAUCCUCUGAUUGAUUUGUGCAUCAUGCCAACACCCAUCAGUUUGUUAAUCAGUCAUGAACUUGCCUUCGGUUGAAACACCAUUCAAGUAUGUAUGGUCACCAGCCUUCAUGGAACUGCCAAGUCAUCCAGACAUGUAUCUCAUGCUUUGCAGUAAACACUCAUCAUUGUAAGCGCGAUGUAUUUCUCUAUGGAUUCCUCUUAGCUUGUCAAAUCAGAUCGUGAAAAUACCUGCUUUGGCAUCAUCAAUGAUGUUCAUGUUAUCACCCAUAUUCAUGCGGUGAAGUGCGCAUUUGAGCUUCAGAAUAGAUGUCCCACAAUCAGUCUUCGAGGUGGGUGCCUUUCCGACAUUCAUUCAGUGCAGUUGUGUGAUAACAUCUGUCUAUAACCAUUUCAAAGAAUGACAAUAUGAGAUUGUCCUUUAAGUGCAGCAUUGUUCCACAGUCAGUCUUGGUGGUAUGCAUCUUUUCUCCAUUCAAUUACAUUCAUCUGUGUAUUCCUCAUCGAUCGCGAGCCAUGUUUCAAAAAAUGAUGAUAGGAAAGUGCCCUUCAGGUACGUUUUUGUUUCUCCAUUGCCGACAGGAUUCACUAAAGCAUGGGCCAUUUUGGAAUGACAUUGCCCCCAGUAUGAUCCGAAUGUGCUCGUUCAUUGAUUAUCUGUCUUUGAACAUCAUUGUCUUCAGUUCACUGAUUCAUCAUUUAAACAUUGCCUCAUAGCUGAUCUGAGCACUGCUUGUUUUUCCUUUUCAAGGUCUACUGUAUUGCCCCAGCUGCUCAACUUUUCAAGGAGUGUCGAGGACUUCAAUGUCAUUUCUAUCAACGAUUUUGCAUACUCAAUCAAUGUUCUUCUGUGUUUGAUAAUCUUCCUUGUUCUGGAAUCAACUCUCAUAUUUCAAAGAUCAUGUCUAUUCAAAGUCUAGUUUGUUGAAAUGAAAUCAGAGUUUUUUUUGAAAAUCUUUUGAAAAUCAAGCUUUUUGAUCAAAGGCCCAACACAUUUUAUUCGAAAUAUAUAGUCCUUUGAUUGUCAUGCAUUUUGAAAACAGAAAUUGACCCAAUGUAGGAUUAAAAAUGGCUUUUUCCAUGGUUCUUUGUAUCAAUUUGAAUCCUUGAUAUUGGGUAUAUCAUUUGAUAGUUUAUGGUGAGGUGACCUUCUGUGAAUUUCAAAAAACAAAUGCUCAAGUCAAAACUGGCUUUAUCAAGAAAGGUUGUUUUUUCUUAUAACUUUUUAUCAGCAUGCAUAAUAACCAAUAGCUUAAUUCAUGAAGUCACGACCCUUAUGGAAAAACUCUUCAAAUUUUGAGAGCGCCAUUUAUCGGUUCAAAUUGCUUGCUUGAUUAAAAAGGGCUUUUAAAAAAAGCACGUAAUGCAGGCUAUGGUUCAUGGCUAUGAAAGAAAGGAAUUUCAAAGGCUCAAAAGGUGUUUGAGGGUUUCAAAGACCUAGGAUCAACAUCAACUAUUCAUCAACUCUUUUAUAUUGUUGUCUUUGUAGAGGAAACGACAUAUAACCUUGUUAACCUCAAAGUUCAGACUUUUCUUAACAUAAGUCAUAAUGCAAAUCCAACUUUCUUUGAGGAAUAACCAACCUUAAUCAUCUGAUAACAUCAUAGGUUUUAUAAUGGAUACCAAAAGUCAACGCUUAUAGCUUAGUCUUUUUCUGGUAUUGACUUUUGUUGUGCCUUUCCUUGAUUGAAAUUUCUUUUGCUCUUCAUAGACUUGAUAGGCGUUCUCCUUCCUUUAUCUUUGACUUGUAUUUAAGUGAAGGCAAUUUCAACUUCCUUUUUUUUUCAUUCUUUUUUUUCAUAGCCUUCCUCAAAAUUUUCUUAUAUGCCCCCAUGUCUAUGUGUUUUCUUUUAGCUCUCUCUCAAUCAUUGGACCUUUGUUCUAAGCCUUCCCCUUUAUCCAUUAAUUAUAUCAAUGUCUCCAAAAUAUCUCUCAUUUGCCCCCAAUGUGGGGUGUGAUCCUAGUCAGGGUUUCUUUUUUGAAAGAAAAUAUUUUACCAGGCUCAAAAUGGGACUGCAAGGGAUAUAAUCUUUAGAAAGUGAAGGGAUAUCAAAGAUGGCCUUUUCUCAUUUCAAGCAAGGUCGGUUAAACCGAUAAAUUUUGACCUCAUCCAGUGUAAUGAUUGGGACUUGUAAGAAUCAUGAUUCACGAGUCCAACUACCGAAUCCACUACAUGUCAUUAUGCAUACUGUUAAAACUUAGCUAUAUGAUGUGUGGUUCAGUUUCAGGUAUGAGUUCAAAAUUGUUUGGUCACCUCAUGUCAUUUUCAAGCAUAGAGUCAUUUCUGUAAUCAAAACACUUAAUCUUCCGGAUUGAUUAACCUUUAUCGCAUGUUGGAGUUUGAUCAAAAUAUUUUGUCAGAAUAAAAUGCUAAACAUCUGUUGAUUUCAAAACAACAAAGAGACAAAAGCAAGGCAUGUUUCGUUGAAGGAUGAGAUGUGAUCCCAAAACAAAAUGCAGAAUUCCAUAACAAUAUGAUUGACUGUUCAUCACCAUUCUGAAUCAGCUUUUCUGGCAAUAUCUGUGUUUUGCAAGCAUUUUCGAUCACAUGUGAUUCUGAAGUUGUUCGGGGAACAAUAUAGCCAGUGACACCCUUCUUCAACGACUCCACUGUCUCUUGCUCACCAACUUUCAGACUCCAUUCUUGCAAUUCUUGAAACUGUUCACUUGAAAUGGUUGAGGACCCCACCAUGACAUCACAUCUCUUAUCUGGAUUAUACCACUAGAAAUUGGUGGUUGCAUGGGAUUUGUCGGAGUCAAGCAAAAUUCUGGAAUCUGGAUGCUGGUCGACAACUUAAACGGCAGAGGAAUGUCCCAUCUUGGCAAAGAUAUUUGAGCAAUUGAUGAUGCCGUGAGACCUGGCUAUACCACAUAAUUAAGGGUUCACACGUCAAAGUCAUCUCCUGAUUCACCUCUCAUCAUUGUUCUAGAAUCCAUGGCAGAUCCUUCAAUCUUUCUUCUCUUCAUAGCUUGUUCAAUUCUUCGGCAAAUCCUCACACAUUAUUUCAAUCUUCCAAUGUUGCUAUGGUUGGUUGAGGAUUGUUAGAAAACUUUCUAACAGCUUGGUAAUCUUGGCAGCGCCCAGAAACUUGUAGUAUCGCCACUACCGACGUGUGGAAUCACACAUUGUCUUUAUUGGAAGAGCACCUGAUGAAUCUAAAACUCCUUUGUCCCCUCUUCAAUUUCUCACUGACAGUGCAGCAAACAAACACCUAUAGAGGAAGUCCUGCUCUGUUGAAGUUUCAGUAUUCUUCAUGUUUUUUAGUCUAGGCAUGUCUCUUCUCUCUACUUUUGCAUUUUAAUACUGACACUGUUGGAGGAAAAUCAUAAUGAUCUGAAACUACUGUAUUCCUUCUUGGAUUUCCCACUUGCGGAUCCACAAACAGAUUCCUGUGAGAGCUCUGCUACGUUGAAGUUUGAUGUCUGCUCAUAUUUUUCAAGCCAAGUCUGGCUCUUCAACCUACUAAGUUUCUUCGUGCUGAAACUGAUGAGAGAAAUAUUUGUAGCAUAUGCAAUUAGUAAAUCCCCUCUUGCAUUCCCAAUUUGCAGAGCCAUAAAUGGAUUUUUGUAGAGAGAGCUCUGCCACAUUGAAGUUUGACAACUGCUAAUAUUAUCAGACCAGGUCUGACUCUUCUGCCUACUACAAUGUUUUGCUGGUGCCACUGGUGGGAAAUAGUUUCAAAGCAUAUGAAAUUAAUACAUUCCCUUUUGCAUUUGCCAUUGACAGAUCCACAAAUAAAUCUCUACAGAGAGAGCUCUACCGCGUUGAAAUUCAGUGUCUGAUCAUGGUUUUUUUUUUUUCAGACCAACAUCUUGUGCUGCUGAACUGGAAUUGAGCUCAUAAUUGGGGUAACUUCAAAGCAGACUAAUGCACCAUGAACAGGAGGUUAGUAGUCGUUUGGUUCCAUUAGAUGAUGUGGAGGCGAUGAAUACUUAACAGCGCAACUGGACAGGAAUCAGAGUUGUCAUUAGUUGAUGACUGAAGGCGUUGUUGUGUUCAUGACUGAAAAGGAAAGGUACAGCUUCAAUUGGACGUGAACAAGCAGUGUUCCCACAGAAAACUGUGCAGACAUUCUCUUUCAUUUGAUGCUCAACACUUGUUCGAGCAGAUCUGAGUCCCGCUACUUCACUCUUGAUGCUCUCAACCUUAAUCUGAUACUGAACCUAUAUCUGACUCCUUUGUUCACUUCCAUUAUUUUUCUUCAAUCUCGUGCAGCACAACUUGUACAAGGGACCUACGUUUCGCCCGGUUCAUGCAUGAUAAAUGUAUGAACAUGUAAUCUAUAUGAUGAACUCCCUUCGAGAGGUGACAAUAUGGUCGUAACUCUUGUAUGAUGGACAAGAAUCGUGAUUUUUGCCCAAACUCUACAAUGAAAAUUUUCGGAGCAACGGCCAAUGUGUCACCCACAAGUCUUGAGUUCAAGAUGCUUCAAGAAGGGUUUGCCCUUAUGCAAAAAACGAUAGCACAUACAACCUAAGGACAGGUUCUAUUCAUUAUGUGAACAUGGGUAAGUUUUCUAUCUGGUCUCAAAAGGGUCUCAUAUCUGCCCAGUGACGUUCUUCGUAAAGACAGUAUGGGGGCGUUGCAAGGAAUGGUUAAGGUACGUAUACCCACCAUUACCAAGCAGGCACUCAGAUAUGAGUUGGGUGUUUCACGCAUCUGAACCCUGACCAAUAGUCUUAGGGCAGAUCGCUAGUUCCCCACCUAACCUAGAAGCUUGUGUGUGCUUUUAAAAAUAAAUACAGGUGAUGCAUGAGACAAUUCUAUAAAAUGCAUGGAAAUAAAUAUUAACAAAAAGAUAAAAAUGCAAAAACUUAAACACAUCAAAUACACAAAGCUUAGUCCAAUAAUCGAAAAAAUACCUUCCCCAGUGGAGUCGCCAUUCUGUCGCACCCCAAAAAAAUCAGCGCGGCAUCGGCUGGCGAUUUUCUCGUUGUUGCGUUUGCUUGAAUUUGGUUCGUUGGAGUCGCCACCUAGUAAUUGAUUCGGGCUACUAGGAAACCGGAUGUACUGGUCUUGUCAGAGAUUCGCGGGUAAGGGACUGGUUGUGGUUAGGGAAGGUAUUAGCACCCCUAACGCACCCUACCUGAGGUAAGCUGCUUCGUGGCUUUGACGUGUUAAAGAAGUUUUAAUAAUUGUCUUUUUUCGGAAAUUAGAAAUAUCACUUACGUAUAAGUUAAUAAUUCUUAACCGUGAUCCGAUCAAAAUAUUAAAUUCUUUUAUAUUUGCAAUUUUAUCAUUAAAAAAAUAUAUACAAAUAAAUAAAACAAAAUACAAACACACACAUCACUAUUUUCAUUUCUUUCUUUUCUUUUUUCUUUUCUUUUACAUACAUCAUACAAAUACAAAUACAAAUACAAAUACAAAAUUCAAAUUCAAAUAAAUAAAUAAAAUACACCAACACACACAUCCCUUUUUUAUUAUUAUUUCUUUUCUUUUCUUCUUUUUUUUUUCUUUACAUUCACAUAUUACAAAUUUAAAAUAAAUAAACAAAAAUUACAUUAAAACUUUAAAAUUUACAAAAUGGUCCCUAAACAAUCCCUAACAGUACUGGGAAACCCUUCAGGAACAGUUCUGGCUGCCUGAACAGUAGCGGCGCGUGGACCCCACGCACCGCCGUGACUGGCGGCGCGUGGCUCACGCGCCGCCCCGAAAAUCAGGCAGCGUGAGGGGCUGCAAUGGCUUCCUCCCCUCUUCUCUCUUGCUAUCCGUCACCUGCAAAUCCAAAAAAAACACACAGCAAGCAGUCGAUUUUAAGUUUUCGGGGUCUAGAUCUUUUUUUGGGUCUUUUCCGUUUUGAAUCCGCUUCUCCUUUACAGAUCGGUCCUUCUCCUUUUUGUUCCCCUUCUCUGUUUCAGGUGGUCAUUUCUAUGACCAAGGGGGAGGCGCCGGCUGCUAGGCUUUCGUUGUUGCUCGCGGCCGCUGGAGCUGUUGCAGGGAUGGGUGAGAUGCUGGCGGACGUCGAGGCGGAGGAGUGACAGAUCGGUGGUGUCUCUGCUGGAGGCUGUGAGCUGGGUCUGUGGGUGCUGCCA
rnacentral:lncRNA from 1 species